UACGUAGGGGGCAAGCGUUAUCCGGAUUUACUGGGUGUAAAGGGAGCGCAGGCGGCGUGGCAAGUCAGAUGUGAAAACCCGGGGCCCAACCCCGGGAGUGCAUUUGAAACUGCCAUGCUGGAGUGCCGGAGAGGUAAGCGGAAUUCCUAGUGUAGCGGUGAAAUGCGUAGAUAUUAGGAGGAACACCAGUGGCGGAGGCGGCUUACUGGACGGUAACUGACGCUGAGGCUCGAAAGCGUGGGGAGCAAACA
rnacentral:rRNA from 1 species